CGGACCAUACACCUACGGGUGGCUGCAGUCGAGAAUCUUCCACAAUGGACGAAAGUCUGAUGGAGCGACGCCGCGUGAUUGAUGAAGUCCCUUUGGGACGUAAAGAUCUUUUAUGAGGGAAGAAGUUUAUUGACUGUACCUCAUGAAUAAGAGGCUCCUAAUCUCGUGCCAGCAGGAGCGGUAAUACGAGAGCCUCGAGCGUUAUCCGGAAUUAUUGGGCGUAAAGGGUGCGUAGGUGGUUCUGUUAGUCUUUUAUUAAAGCCCCGAGCUUAACUUGGGAUAUGUAAAAGAAACGGCAGAACUAGAAAGUGCGAGGGGUGUACGGAACUCAUGGUGUAGGGGUGAAAUCCGUUGAUAUCAUGGGGAACACCAAAAGCGAAAGCAGUACACUGGCGCAUAUUUGACACUGAAGCACGAAAGCGUGGGUAGCGAAUGGGAUUAGAUACCCCAGUAGUCCACGCCCUAAACGAUGAUUUCUCGCUAUUCGGAGUAUCGACCCUCUGAGUGGCUAAGCUAACGCGUUAAGAAAUCCGCCUGGGAAGUACGGCCGCAAGGCUAAAACUCAAAGGAAUAGACGGGGACUUGCACAAGCAGUGGAUUAUGUGGUUUAAUUCGAUGGUAAACGAAGAACCUUACCAGGGUUAGAAAUCAACGUGAAAGCUCCAAGAAACUGGAGCCCUCGCAAGACUAGUUGACAGGUGUUGCAUGGCCGUCGUCAGUUCGUGGUUUGAAUUGUACCCUUAAGUGGGCUAACGAACGCAACCCUCGUUGUGUGUUACAAGUGUCACACGAUACUGCCCCCGCCUUUGUUCAUGAAAAUUAUUUUCGUGGAUUGGGGCGGGGGAGGAAGGAGAGGAUGACGCCAGGUCAGCAUGACCCUUGAUACCCUGGGCUACACACAUAAUACAAUGACCGUUACAACGCGCAGCGACGAGGCGACUCUGAGCUAAUCGUUUAAAAGCGGCCUCAGUUCGGAUUGAAGUCUGCAACUCGACUUCAUGAAGCUGGAAUCGCUAGUA
rnacentral:rRNA from 1 species